CUUCAACAAUUAGUUCUAUCGAGUGCAAUGCCCAAAAUGCUGAUAACAAUAUUUGUUUCAUGUUUCAAAUUUUGUUUUUAAUAUUAAUUAGCCAUCAACACAAACGAGAAAACCGUUUUGGUUCCAAACUGUAGAAUUCCAGUUGAUGUUGUGAGGAAUGAAAGAUGAUGUCAACCAAUAAUGAACUAUCAGAUGCUCAGCGUAUGUCAUUGCAUGCCAUUAUGUUUUCGAGGCUAUCCACUUAGUUAUGACUUAUGUGGAUUGUGUCAAUCAGAGUUGUGUUGUUGGCAGAGGUUAAUUUUUAAAAAGUGUUAUCUUAAUUUGUAUACAGGUGUAUUGAUGGUUGCAUGAUUGUAGUCCUAGCUUAUAUAUUGUAAAUAUUUAAUAAUUUUAGCUA